rnacentral:rRNA from 1 species
UACGGGGGGGGCAAGCGUUGUUCGGAAUUACUGGGCGUAAAGGGCUCGUAGGCGGCCAACUAAGUCGGAUGUGAAAUCCCCAGGCUUAACCUGGGAACUGCAUCCGAUACUGGAUGGCUUGAAUCCGGGAGAGGGAUGCAGAAUUCCAGGUGUAGCGGUGAAAUGCGUAGAUAUCUGGAGGAAUACCGGUGGCGAAGGCGGCAUCCUGGACCGGCACUGACGCUGAGGCGCGAAAGCGUGGGGAGCGAACAGG